UGUGAUCAUAUGUGUUUUAAGAAAUCACUAGUACUACGCAAGCACCUAGAAGAGAGGGCGCUUAAGACGCCAUGUUAUAGACGGAGACUAUAAUCGGAGGUGUUACACGCUAAUACUAUUUUGAGGUUAUAUUUUUUUACGCUUUAGUAAUUCUUUUUUAUAUUUAAUUAUUUUAUGAAAUCAUUCGCUGACAAACGAUUAAAAAUGUUUGGGCUCGAAUUAAAUGACGAAAGUUCUUCUUCUCUACAGAAAAUCUCAAAGAAUAUCGAAUUCUACAUAACUGAUUUUCCAGCACUUGUUAAUAUUUCUUAUUACGUCGAUAAAAUCAUAUUAAUGAGAGAUGUUAAAAAUGACACGGAAAUGGUACUAAUCAGUGCACCAAGAAGUUUUAAUCAGAGCAACAAGUCUACGAAUAUGUGUAUGCUACGAAAAUUUGUUGAAAGAAAAGUGGACAGUAAUGAGGAACGCAUCGAACUACAAAAAGGAUGAAGAAGGUUAUUCGAUGGAACAACACCCAACAUCAAGGAAUUUCAACACAUACAAAGACAAACAUAUUUGUUCCAAUUACUAAUGCACUGUACAACAAAAUUCCUUUCUAAUGAUGAUACAGAGCAUAUUGUAAACAUUAUUGGUGUUCCAAGUUCAGAUUUAUCAGAAAGUAAUUUGUAUGUAAGGAGAGUAUUACUGAAUAACUGCCAUCAUAUUGAAAGGGUUCUAUUACCUAACAAUAUAAUAUAGUACCAUUUCUUAUGAUGUGAAACAUAUCGGAAAUAUUAUGGAUUGAAGAAGAAGGAUUGAGAAAAUGAAGUAGAAUAUUUGAUAGGAAAGGUAGAGUUAUCUGAAAAAUUAAAUCAGGUAAAAAAUGAUACAAUGGCUAUAGUAAGAAAUUGCAUAGUAGUAAAAUUGAAUUAUAUGAUCAAUUAUAAAUUAUAUAUAUGAAAAGCGAGAAUUUUUGCUCUACAAGUAGUUUUGAUAAUUUAGUUUUAAGUAGUUUUUAUUAAAUCAUGAUAAUAUCAGAUCAAAAAUUUUAUAUCUUAUAUUUGAUAAAUUUAUUUAAACAUAUUACAUACAUAAGUCGAGAAUUGUUUAUGUCAAAGUUUUAUUAAAAAUUUUAACUAUAAAUAUAGUAGAAAAUGUGAAAAUUGAAAAAGAAAUUUUUUUAGAGAUGAUAUAUAAACGUUUUUUUCCAACUCAUCAUCAUCUUUAAAGUUAUUAUUUUAGUUAUUUCUUUAUCUUAUUCCAGAAAACAUUUGACCUUUUCUAGAACAAAGAUGUAAUUAGAUUCAUACAUUUUUUCUUUAACUUUUUCAUAUAAAUGAAGCUUCAUAGAAAGCUCAAUUAAACUGUUGGUUUUAACAUUUGUUAACUGAAAUAAUUUGUUUUUUUGUAAUUAUUGUAUAAAUGUGCAAUCUUCAUUUAUUUAGGUGUUUAAAUAUCUUGAUAAAUUUUUUACAAUAUUUGAUAUACUAAUUACCCAACUGAUUUAAUUAAAAUAAAAAUGUUCGAAUGACAAACGAA